rnacentral:rRNA from 1 species
GGGGGCUAUCAUGCAGUCGAGCGACAGACGAGGAGCUUGCUCCUCUGACGUUAGCGGCGGACGGGUGAGUAGCACGUGGAUAACCUACCUAUAAGACUGGGAUAGCUUCGGGAAACCGGAGCUAAUACCGGAUAAUAUAUUGAACCGCAUGGUCCAAUAGUGAAAGACGGUUUUGCUGUCACUUAUAGAUGGAUCCGCGCCGCAUUAGCUAGUUGGUAAGGUAACGGCUUACCAAGACAACGAUGCGUAGCCGACCUGAGAGGGUGAUCGGCCACACUGGAACUGAGACACGGUCCAGACUCCUACGGGAGGCAGCAGUAGGGAAUCUUCCGCAAUGGGCGAAAGCCUGACGGAGCAACGCCGCGUGAGUGAUGAAGGUCUUCGGAUCGUAAAACUCUGCUACUAGGGAAGAACAAAUGUGUAAGUAACUAUGCACGUCUUGACGGUACCUAAUCAGAAAGCCACGGCUAACUACGUGCCAGCAGCCGCGGUAAUACGUAGGUGGCAAGCGUUAUCCGGAAUUAUUGGGCGUAAAGCGCGCGUAGGUGGUUUUUUAAGUCUGAUAUGAAAGCCCACGGCUCAACCGUGGAGGGUCAUUGGAAACUGGAAAACUUGAGUGCAGAAGAGGAAAGUGGAAUUCCAUGUGUAGCGGUGAAAUGCGCAGAGAUAUGGAGGAACACCAGUGGCGAAGGCGACUUUCUGGUCUGUAACUGACGCUGAUGUGCGAAAGCGUGGAGAUCAAACAGGAUUAGAUACCCU